rnacentral:rRNA from 1 species
AUUGAACGCUGGCGGCAGGCCUAACACAUGCAAGUCGAGCGGAGCGGCGGACGGGUGCGUGAUGCUUAGGAAUGUGAAUGGUAGUGGGGGAUAACGACCGCAAAUGGGCGCUAAUACCGCAUACUAUCAGAUGAGCCUAGGUCGGAUUAGCUAGAUGGUGGGGUAGAGGCCUACCAGGGCGACGAUCCGUAACUGGUCCGAGAGGAGGAUCAGUCACACUGGAACUGAGACACGGUCCAGACUCCUACGGGAGGCAGCAGUGGGGAAUAUUGGACAAUGGGCGAAAGCCUGAUGCAGCCAUGCCGCGGGUAUGAAGAAGGUCUUCGGAUUGUAAAGCACUUUAAGUUGGGAGGCGUUACCAACAGAAUAAGCACCGGCUAACUUCGUGCCAGCCGCCGCGGUAAUUC